CCAUCAUCACCACACCUGAUUAUCUUUCAGGCGUGUUUUUGUGGCUGGAAGAUAACAAAAUGGUCUUCCGAGUGCGAUAACAUCAUCAAAUCAUCACCCCUCGGAAGGAAACUUUCGAGGGGUUUUUGUU
rfam:Rodentibacter heidelbergensis strain Ac69 contig_3, whole genome shotgun sequence.